GCCAGGAGAUAAACAAACAUGGCUGACUGCAAGUCCAGGCCUCAGCUGCUGUAAAGGUGCAGAGUUACACCCGAUUCAAAUGUACGGUGGCCCAGACGGGUCACCAAUGCCAGAACAUAAGAAUAUGUGAUUAUAUACGGGGUUGAGUGGAAAGCAGCAGCAGCGGCUCAGUUUGCCCAAAUGAUUCAGGGAACAAGGAAAAAACGCAGCAAGCAAAGAGAGCAAGUUUGGUUUGAAAUGAGAAUUAAACCAGAACAAAGCAACCCUGGUUCUGCUUUCCUCCCGCUCUGCUGGUUAGCCUCGCGUUUCCACUUCCACGCCGCUCUUUCAACCCACUCUGUGGAUAUUUGUUCAGCUUACGCUGCACUUCGGUGAAAGGACUGAAUAAAUGGAACCAUGGACUUCA